rnacentral:rRNA from 1 species
UACAGAGGGUGCGAGCGUUAAUCGGAAUUACUGGGCGUAAAGGGUGCGUAGGUGGCUACGUAAGUUAGGUGUGAAAUUCCCGGGCUUAACCUGGGAACUGCGCCUGAUACUGCGUGACUAGAGUAUUGUAGAGGAAAGUGGAAUUUCCGGUGUAGCGGUGAAAUGCGUAGAUAUCGGAAGGAACAUCGGUGGCGAAGGCGACUUUCUGGACAAAUACUGACACUGAGGCACGAAAGCAUGGGGAGCAAACAGG